GAUGAACGCUAGCGGCAGGCCUAAUACAUGCAAGUCGAACGGUGUCUUCGGACAUAGUGGCGCACGGGUGCGUAACACGUUUGCAACCUACCUUACAUUGGGGGAUAGCCUUUCGAAAGGGAGAUUAAUACCGCAUAAGACAGUAGCUGGGCAUCCAGCAGCUGUUAAAGAUUUAUCGAUGUAAGCUGGGCAUGCGUCCAAUUAGCUAGUUGGUGAGGUAACGGCUCACCAAGGCAAUGAUUGGUAGGGGAACUGAGAGGUCAAUCCCACCACACUGGCACUGAGAUACGGGCCAGACUCCUACGGGAGGCAGCAGUAGGGAAUAUUGGGCAAUGGACGCAAGUCUGACCCAGCCAUGCCGCGUGCAGGAUGAAGGCGUUAUGCGUUGUAAACUGCUUUUAUACAGGAAGAAACGACUCUUGCGAGAGGCAUUGACGGUACUGUAUGAAUAAGCACCGGCUAACUCCGUGCCAGCCGCCGCCGUAAAAC
rnacentral:rRNA from 1 species